rnacentral:rRNA from 1 species
AUUGAACGCUGGCGGCAGGCCUAACACAUGCAAGUCGAGCGGAUGAAGGGAGCUUGCUCCUGGAUUCAGCGGCGGACGGGUGAGUAAUGCCUAGGAAUCUGCCUGGUAGUGGGGGAUACCGUCCGGAAACGGGCGCUAAUACCGCAUACGUCCUGAGGGAGAAAGUGGGGGAUCUUCGGACCCCCCGCUAUCAGAUGAGCCUAGGUCGGAUUAGCUAGUUGGUGGGGUAAAGGCCUACCAAGGCGACGAUCCGUAACUGGUCUGAGAGGAUGAUCAGUCACACUGGAACUGAGACACGGUCCAGACUCCUACGGGAGGCAGCAGUGGGGAAUAUUGGACAAUGGGCGAAAGCCUGAUCCAGCCAUGCCGCGUGUGUGAAGAAGGUCUUCGGAUUGUAAAGCACUUUAAGUUGGGAGGAAGGGCAGUAAGUUAAUACCUUGCUGUUUUGACGUUACCAACAGAAUAAGCACCGGCUAACUUCGUG